AGAGUUUGAUCCUGGCUCAGGACGAACGCUGGCGGCGUGCUUAACACAUGCAAGUCGAGCGAACGUAGCAAUACGUUAGCGGCGGACGGGUGAGUAACGCGUGAGCAAUCUGCCUCUAUCAGCGGGAUAACACUUAGAAAUAGGUGCUAAUACCGCAUAAGACCACGAAGUCGCAUGACUUUGGGGUAAAAGCUCCGGCGGAUAGAGAUGAGCUCGCGUCCUAUUAGCUAGUUGGUGGGGUAACGGCCUACCAAGGCGACGAUAGGUAGCCGACCUGAGAGGGUGAUCGGCCACAUUGGAACUGAGAAACGGUCCAAACUCCUACGGGAGGCAGCAGUGGGGAAUAUUGGGCAAUGGGCGCAAGCCUGACCCAGCAACGCCGCGUGAAGGAUGAAGGUUUCGGAUUGUAAACUUCUGUCGCGAGGGACGAAGAAUGACGGUACCUCGUAAGAAAGCCCCGGCUAACUACGUG
rnacentral:rRNA from 1 species